CAGCAGCAGCAGCAGCAGCAACAACAACAAUGAAUGUGACGGAGAAGGAUUACGACAGCGCGACCUCCGCGCUGGAACAGCAAAUGAAUUUGGCCCGCCGCGCCUGUUGGAGCACCGGCAGAAGGACGCUUUCAAGUGAAUUACCCGCGACAAAAAUUGAAGUUCAAGUUGAAGUUGAAUCUGCGGCUGAGGCAGAAGCAAAAACAGAAAAAAUGAAUGGUGCUACUUUAAAUAAUAAUAGUGAAACAUUUAGCCAAGUCUAUGAGCAUAGCUUACAAAAUUCUAAACAAUAUGAACUGCAUUGGAGGGGCAAGAAAUCGGGCCUCGAAUCGUUGCUCGGCCAGCUUUGGCUACAAAUGGUGGCUCUUGUACAUCGUCCAAACCAACCACCGAGUGGACCUAACACAAACGAAAACAAAAACCACAUCAACUACAGAAAAAUACUGAGUAAAAAGCUGACGCUGCUCUGUGCCAUUUGUAUGUUUCUAAGCUGCAUUGAGGCCCGACCGAAUACAAGCGUUUUGAAUCCAGUCAGCGCUACAAAGCCCACAGAAGCGAUCAGCUACGAAGGUGUUGCGCCGCUAAAGCUGCAGUCUAGCACUGCAGUACCCACCGAUACCGAUACGUUGGAGCCUUUACCAAACGCAGAGUACUUGACGAGCGACGAGGAACGGCUCCACGAUGAAGAGGGUCACCAUAAAACGGACCGUUACCCCCUCUCGCAGGUGGAAUUUGCGCGAGUGAAGACGCCUUUCAUCAUCGGCAUUUGGAUAUUGUCGGCGAGUAUAGCAAAAAUCGGUUUUCAUAUGACGCCAAAACUGCACCUGAUUUUCCCGGAGUCAUGCCUGCUGAUUGUAGUGGGAGUCGUCAUUGGUGUGGUGCUCUAUUUCUGCACCGAUGUGGCUGUUUCGCCACUCACGCCCAACACAUUCUUCUUCUACAUGCUGCCACCGAUUAUCCUUGACGCGGGCUACUUUAUGCCGAAUCGCUUGUUCUUCGACAACCUGGGCACAAUUUUGCUUAUGGCUGUGGUUGGCACAAUCUUCAACAUCGCCACCAUCGGUGGCUCGCUCUAUGCGUGUGGUCUUUGCGGCAUGUUCGGCGAUGAGAGCGCAACGCCCAGACUCUUGGAUGUCUUUCUCUUUGCAUCGCUGAUAUCCGCCGUAGAUCCUGUGGCUGUGCUGGCUGUAUUUGAGGAAAUACACGUCAAUGAAAUCCUGUACAUUGUUGUGUUUGGCGAGUCCCUGCUAAACGAUGCCGUCACAGUGGUCAUGUAUCACAUGAUGGAGGUGUACAAUGAAAUUGGCUUGCCGAACAUUAACGCACAGGACAUAGCAAGCGGUGUUGGUUCCUUUUUUGUGGUGGCGCUUGGCGGCACUGCUAUAGGUAUAAUUUGGGGCUUCCUAACAGGACUUGUCACACGUUUCACCGAUCAUGUGCGUGUAAUAGAGCCAAUCUUUAUAUUUGUUAUGGCCUACUUGGCGUAUCUGAAUGCGGAAAUCUUCCAUAUGAGCGGCAUAUUGGCAAUCACCUUUUGUGGCAUUACCAUGAAGAACUAUGUGGAGUCGAAUAUAUCGCAAAAGUCGCACACCACUGUCAAAUAUGCGCUCAAGAUGUUAUCCAGCUCGGCGGAAACUAUAAUAUUUAUGUUCCUAGGUGUGGCAACCGUUAAUAACAAGCAUGUUUGGAAUACGGCCUUUGUUGUGCUGACCAUUACCUUUUGCUCAGUAUUUCGUGUUGUGGGUGUUAUUUUUCUGUCUGCCAUCGCAAAUCGUUUCCGUCUCCACAAGCUGUCGCGAGUCGACCAGUUUGUCAUGUCCUAUGGUGGCCUGCGCGGAGCCGUCGCCUUCGCUCUUGUGCUGCUGGUCGAUGAGAACGUGGUCAAGCAGAAGGAUAUGUUUGUGACCACCACCAUAGCUGUGAUCUACUUUACUGUGUUUUUGCAAGGCAUUACUAUAAAGCCGCUGGUGGAGAUAUUGAAUGUGAAGCGCGCACAAAAGCGAAAGCCGACAAUGAAUGAGCGCAUCCAUGAGCGCUUCAUGGACCACCUGAUGGCUGGCAUUGAGGAUAUCGUCGGCAAAACUGGCAAUUACAAUGUCCGAGACAAAUUCAAACGUUUCGACAACCGUUUCAUUCGUCCUUUGCUGAUCAGAGAUCUAAAGGGCGCAGAACCGAAAAUCAUCGAGACCUACUCAAAGCUCACUAUGCGCGAUGCCAUGGAAGUGAUGCGCCGCAAUCCCUCCACCAUUGGACAAAUGACGGGCACCGAAUCAAUGAGUGCGCUGUUUAGGAACUAUACCAAUAACUAUAUUGGGGGCAGGUGGGCACCGCCAACCAUAUACACCACCUGUCCAAGCUUAACGAACCUAGACAAUGCUUGUUCGCGUAAUCUGGACAUGGCUGAACUUGACUACAAUCCAUCCAAAAAGGAUCUGACUGAUGCCAAAAUACAUCAUCUCCUAGCCGAGGAACUGAAGCCAUAUAGAAGGGCUUCCAUACAAAUGCACCGUCGUCUUAGUUAUAGCCGACACGCGGUAGAUGACAGAGAUUUGUCCACGCAGGUCAAUUAUAAAAUGCAAAUGAAUUUCCGACGAAUGUUCAAUGAUCGCAAACACCACAAGCGAAGCAAGCGAGGUGCAAAUAGCAAAGAUUCUAAGGAGAACGUCAAACAAAACCACGUGUCUUUCCACGAUUUCCAACAGAACGGCACCAACAAGCAGCUCUCCAAUGCUGAGGAUUGCCAACUCAAUCCGAACGAAAUCACCGUUGUUGGUCCUCCCGACGACUGGGAUGAUGGAUUAACCUUUACUGCAAAAUCAUCACCUGACUCGGAUCGCGCCAAUAAUAAUUCCUUAAUAACGCAUAUUCAAAACCUGCCGGGUUUUGAUGCAUCCAAGGCGCGCAUCGUGCAGCAUUACGCACCCAAACUUGAAGAGAGCCCUGGCCAAGAAUUAGGCUCGCCAGAUCCACCAGUUGGACCCACAGCGGCGGAGUUGAUUUUGCCCUGGCGACGGGAUCGUUCGUACCAGAGCAUUGUUGCUGAGAAUCCCAUACCAGAGGAGGAUCGUAACAUGUCCCGUGACUCUGAUGGCGAGCGCCGGGUGGCCACCCCGACGGCUUUGGAAUCUCAGCUGCCCUGGAAACGCCAAGGAGAUGAAUGCACGGACGCUGUGCAGCAGAACGAGUUCCCUGCCUGGGCAUCGAAUAAGGAGUAUUUGGCCUACAAUUCGCCGAGCGCAACGUUUCUAGGUGGUAUAAACAAGCCUAAACAGCCAAAGUCCGUCAUAGGUCUCUUCCGGCGGGAAAGUUCCAGCUCCAAGACCGGCAGUGUUGGAAUCGGCAGCAACAGUGCCGUCGACGGCGCAGUCUCGGAUCCGACCCUGGCAGCUGCCUUGGGCACCUUGGCGGUCCCUUCUUUAAAUCAGGCUUGCAGCACAGCGCCGUCAACUUCGAUGCACAAUCCGCGUCUGGACAAGCGUUCCCAGUCAAUUUCGUCGACAUCGAUGUCCAGUCAUCUGGUCGGCCCGGAGGGUCAUGCCGGGCCUUUUCCGGUCACGGCUAGUCAUCGGCGCAACGUACGUCGCGGUUCAAUGCUGGAGCUGAGUGGACUAAUUGCAACUGGACGUAGGCCCAGUAGAAUAAUGCAAAUAUACAGUCCAGGAGCAAGUUUACUAGAGUCAGUAAGGGUUACGGCCAGUCCAACAGCAACAACAGCCACCAACAUCACCAAUACAACAACAACAUCUACAGCUACUAAAAUACCCAGUCAAGAAACUAACGAAAUACUACUACUGUCAACUACUAACAGAUCUGAAAACUCCUCCAAUGCAAGUUCAACCACCAGUUCUCCCACAUCUGAGAGUAUUGCAACGUAUUAUUCAAAGUAAUCGAAAGCCUAGCAAUGCAACUGCCACUUAAGCCGGCCAUUUUCGAAUCUCAACAUUAUGAAAAUACAAUAAAAACCUACCCACAUACACAUACAUGUGUACAAGUAUAUCGACAAUAUGAUCGCAUCGCCUAUGUAUAUGAAAUCGAGGCUUAUCAUUGUAGUUACAAUUUAGAACAGUUUAGAAUGCGCAUCUACUCGUAUAAGAAAUGCUUUGUCAUCAUUAGUAUUGGUAUGCCAUUUUUAAAAUGCGAACGGUUGCCUUAGUUCCAAAAUACAUAAGUUAUCGUUAAGCUCUGGAUAUUGAAAAACAUUCAUAUCAAGUCCACUCACGCACUCAUUUGUAUCUUUUCACUGGCCCGUAUCUUUGGUUUAUUAAUCCAUAAAUUCUGAUGUUGCUGAAUUUAAUUACUAUACCUUGUACCCCGAAGGGAUAAAGGAGGUGUGGCAGACUCCAUGUUAUCGGUACUAAUAUGAUCAGCAUGACGAGACGGAUCGAUAACGAUAUCUCCAUCCGUCCAUCCGUAUGAACGCUGAGAACUAAUGCAUCAUAAAAGCUAGCUUUGCAGGAUAACCUUUUUUGUUUAAAGUAUUCAGAAACCUUUACCUAGUUUGUGUUUUAAGAGUUAAGCUUUUUUAAAGUGUUUCUUUAAUGAUAGUUUUCAAGAUGACUCUUGGUAUUCAACACACUUUUUGUUUAUCUCGGAUUGUAAUCAAAUUUGGUGUUCAUUGGUUUUUUAUAAUGUCCCACAACAAUCCAAAAUAUAAUCAAAACUGAUUUACUAUAUUGUAAAGCUACCAUUGGAAAGAUCGAUGGAAGAACCAAUCAUAGUACUAAAAUCUUUUCUGUUUAUUUCAGUAACUGAACCAAAUUUGGUAUUUUUAGUUUUUUUAAAUCUGGUAUUUGAUCAAAAUUAGUCAGAGGUACAAAAAGUUUAUUUUAGUUGAACGGCUGCAGGGGGGAGAAGGGUGGGUACAGGGUAUUCAAGAGUCGGGCUGGCACGACUCUAACGUUCCACUCGUUAGCUUUUGGCUGUAUGAUCUAACCUUUGGCUUUGUGGUCUAACCUCCUUGCCGUUUGUCUAAUACGUAUAUAAUGUUAUUGGAGCACAUACUAUAGUGUACUUAGUAUGUGUGGCUAUUAUAUAGUACUUAUAACUGAUUUAUUUUUGUGGUAGUUGUAACUCGGUAAUUAUUUCGUUUUGUUGGAUAACAAUUGCAUGCUUUAUCCAUUAAGAUGGACCUAACAGACAUAGCAACAACAAAAAUACCAUCUUAACCCAAAAACAUACCCUAACCGAAUAUAAAUAUUAAUCAAAAAUACUGUCUUAAUUUGUGAGUUAAUCGUUCAAAUGAUAACAAUGAUUCCUUGUCAAAUGUGUGUCAUGGUGCGUUCUAUUAUAUUUUGAAUCUUCAAUGAGUAAUAACCAAGAUUUGCAUAAAUAUUGGCCAACAGAAUGUCAUCUCUAUAUUAACCAAUCCCUAACAAACUAUAUUUUUAGAGCCGCCUCAAUUGAGUCUGUAUAGCAAUAUCGAAACGAGCACACAACCCAAAACCAGGAAAGCUGCACAAGAAACCUUUUAACUUACACACUAAACACAAAUACACACAUACACACACACACAACACCCAGCACCUGUGAUAAUUCCCUAGACUUUUAUAUGCCUUAGAGUAUAUUCAUAUGCCUUUAAGAAGAAUAAUUUUGUUGACACAAUUCCCGAGGAGUCCUCGUACCAGCACGGCCACUCGAAGUCGCUCUGUGAGCCGGCAGGCGACGAUUGGGACACCACACCACUGGCCA